AUUAUGUAAUGUGAUGUUUGUAGUGUUCUGGUCUCAGGUGAAGCUGUGUUACAGGUCUCCCCAAUUUUUGACCUACGAACACACCUCGGGGAUAAUAAUACCCCUAUUUUGUUAGAGGAGUACUAACACCAGCAUGGCCUCCCACUAUUUUGGUUUGAUAAUGUGAGUGGAGGAAUACACUAGGUGAAGGUGGGUAGGCGAUCGGAUGAUAUUGCUGUUAGAGAUACAUCGUCUGAAUAUACCUUUGCCGGUGUGGGUUGUUAUUUUAGCAUACCCUCAUUUAGCCGACUAUCACACAGAGGCGAGUAAGACAGUGAAUUCGAAUUCAAAUUCAAAUAUAUUAUAAAAAUUUAAAAAAAUAAGCAACCAGCAAACGACGAAUUCGGUAGUGUCAAUUGUCGAUCGUCAAUAGUGGGAUUAUAGUUUAUAUUGUGGUUUAGCCAAUAACUCUGGGAGAACUAUAAAGAAGGGAAGUGAAGAACAAAGAAAGGUGUUUGAUUUUCGGCGGCCCGAACUCAUUGGCGGAAAGCUGGGCCGCCGCCAACAAAAAAAAAAAAAAGGAAAUUUUAUACGCGAUAAGAAAAUUCAAAGAAGAAAAAAAAGUUGAAUUGAAACAAAUCCAAAUAGGAUAGCGUAAAAAUCCCUAGGUCCAUUAAAAAAAAAAGGAAAGGGAUUCAUAAAUUAAAAAAAAAAAUAGUGAAAAUUCCAUCAAUAUAGCAAUAAUAGAUACGCAAUCAAUUAGAUUUAGCUAUAAAAUAAAUACCUACCUGUACUUACCCAGUGGAUUUUUAUGUGUUGUGAUUGUCCUAUAAUUAAGUUGUUCGGUUUUGUUUAAAAAAUUUGUACGUAUACAAAAAUAUUCAUAUUUGUACAAUUAGUCGAGGCGUGGAAGUUACUUUGUUUGUUCUCAAUUUAUUUAUUUUUUUUGGUUACUUGUUUUAAAACAUAUUCUUGUGAGGUACCGAAAAUCGGUGAGCGGUUGAAUCGCGUCCAGUCACUGGGUUGUUUGUUUUAGUCUUAGCCGACACCUCCACAGAGCUCUAUAGGGGUAGGGAGCUAGGGCAUCGUCGUUGAUUGAUUGAAAGAUACUACAAAGGGUAUCAAAAUUGAAUAUUGAAACGCGGCUUUUCAGUACCAAUUUCUUUUUUUUUCUCAUUUGUUUAAAAGUUUAAUGUUGUAAGCAAUAAUUGUAAUUUAAAAUAAUUAUGUGAAUAAACUUCCAUAACGCCUAUCGAAAGGACGAAAAUAGUUUUUUUGUUAUUGCUGUUUCGCCCCAGCGAAGCAAUGUUGUGCUAAGUUCUUUUUUUCAGGGGUGUCGAGGGUAGCGGAGUGGACAUGGACCUAAGAUGACCUGAACCCGAUCGUCGACCACCAUUUGGGGGUAUCCAAAACUGGCCACGGAUACCUAAAGGUAGGGUGGGUAAUGGCCUCACUGCACAACAUCCGCAGUGCCCUGAUGUGCCAAUAGUCCGUCCGUUUAUGUUUCCUUCCUGUUCCUCAUUCCUUGGCCUGAUUUAUGUUUUUGUCUGCAGGCGAGGUUGAGUUUCGGGGGCAAGAUCCCCCCCGUCCGACGAGCUGACGCCGUGCACCGCAAGCAGGCCGCGUCCCCCGGAUCUCAACAAUCCCACCUAACCUAUUCCAAAUCUUCCUAUCUCUUUUUCCUACCUCAUCCUUAUCCUACCC